GCUUUUGCCAACUGGAAGGUAAGGUAAAGAGAGAGGACUUAGCAGGAGAUGCUGCCAGAAGCUCUAUUUGAGAACCAGGCUGUGAAGGCAGUGAGAAGCAGGUGUGAUGUUGUUCUGCCUGCCUCAGGAAGAGCUUGGGGAUGGAAAGCUGAGGCGGUGCGGAGGAAGGGAUGGUUCCACAUUUAAUGCCUCUCCCCUGCAUGCUGGCUCCAGGCCACCCAGGCUGAACACUCACAGCUUGCACUGAAGUGUUGGAGAACUGAAAGGGCCCGAGGCUGUGCUGGCUGGUCCCCGGCAUCUUGCAUUUCAAAUGCCUUCAGAAAGAUGGAUUUGAUGCUUCCUCUUUUAUUUAUUACAUUUAAAGCAGCUUUGCCAGGGGGGAGCCCAAGAGAAGAUGCAGCUUAUCGUCCUGGGGAUCCGAGGAGCUGGGCUGCACACAAAGCAGAAGGCAGCACCCCACCAGCAGCCAUGCAUGCAGCGGUCUGCACUCCUGGGGGGGGGACAGAGAGGGCAAGGGAAGGUGGGGACCACCCGGCUCAGCAGCAGUGAGUCAUUUGCUGAGCUCUCCUCCUGACCGCUGGGCAGUUAUUAUCGAUGCCACACAGCUGUAAAUGUUCUCUCUGCAGCUGGGACCUGGGAGCAGAGAGUGCGGCUCAGCUGAGUGUGUUAUUGGAUUAGCAGCUGAUUAGAGCUGUUAAGAGUCCACUCUUGAAUAAUCAACAUGGUGCUUUUUGGCUGCUGUGUAGCAGUGGGAGGAGGAAGGAGGCAGAGCAGCUUGGCUGACUGCUGUUGAAUCACAGCUGAGCCCUGGCCCUGCAGUCAGUGGGGAGAUGCAGUGCCCACCUUCCCCUGGACAACUGGUGGGAUGUGGAGCUGCAAGGGGACCUCCUAUUUCUCUGACACACAUUUCAGGCUAUGGAUUCUCUUGCUGGAAGAGUUAAAACCUGGAGUAUCUCAACCAUGUGGGAAGACCGGAUGGUGUGUGGUGAGCUUGGUCCAUCGUGAGCCAGGGUUGAAUUGGCCCGUUGUUCAGCCACCAUUUCCCAUGAAGAAUCUUCCUACAGCCGCCUGGCAGUAGGAGUCAUCCUGCUCUGCCUUGAUGUGUGUAUUUGCUCCCUGAGUUGAGUCCUUCUGGUGCUCUCUGGUCUGGAGAGCACAAUUCACCAGCAACCUCAUGGAUCAUGUUUUUCCCUUCAGGCAUAGUUCUCUGCUUUCCACUGAUAUCAAUGGCACGGCAACUGUGAGUGUGGGGAGAACUUGGUAUUACACGGAAUAAUGAUUCACAAGUGUGAUCACAUGUGCCCUGAUAUCCAAGGGCACUGAGUGAUUAGGGCUAAGGAGAUCUCUUGCUUACGCUUUCACUCCUUGUGUCUGAGAUCAGCAUUCUCCUUGCAAAGACCUCUAGGGGUCACAGUUGGAUUGUACAACAGGUUGUGAUCCCAUCCUUGGGAUAGGAAAUCAGAGCACACGCCACCCACCUCCUGCCAAACCAGCGGCUGGAAAGCCAGCAGGAUGCCAAGUGCCCACUGCCCAUGGGUCACUGCCUCCAACCCCACUCAGGAGUGGGUUCCAGCCCCUCCUCUGCCUCUUUCUGCCACCGAGAUCCAGAUGAUUCUCUGAGGAUUUAGUUCAUAACUUCAACACAGUGAAUCCAAAUGUGUUCUAGGCUGGAAAAGCCAGUUUCAAGUUUGUGCACAGAAGGGUAUGAGGAACAGUGCCAUAAAGAAGAAGGAGGAAGAGAAGAAAUUAGAAAAUGUGAGUUAUACAUACACAGUGCAAUCAAGGGAAGGGACAGAGACCUGUCACAAAAGGUUCACGCUGAAGAUUUCCAUCUCUGCGUAAGUUUCUUGCUCACGAAAAUAGUGGUGGUUCAUUAAGGUUGCUGCGAAGGGGCUUUGUUUCCUUUUUGUCUAACCUGAUCUUCCUCAAAACCAGGUAGUACAAACCUCAAAAAGCAAAAUCCAGGUGACACAAUUUGAAGAACUUUAGGACACAGGCAGCGUUCCAGUGAAGUGAAAUGGAUGAGGCAGCUCUUCAAACCCUGACCUGGUUUUCUUUGAGAUCGUUACUCAUCUCUGCAGCUCACACAUGAGCUGUGUGUGCCCAUCUCGGCCUCCAGGUUCAGCAGAGCCCCCAAGAAGAAGUCACAGGAGUUGGACAGGACCAGACAGCAGUGAGCUCGACAGAAGACCCCUGCCUGGAUGGAUUCAUCCUCCCCAUGUGAAAGCAGUUCUCUCAGCAGGGUUUUCUGCCACAGUUGCACCAUUCUUGUCCUUCUUCCUUCCACUAGGCAACAGAAAGUCUUCAGAUGAGCCCAAUCCAUUUCUGUCAUGAGGAGCAGCCUAGAAACAGCAUCACCUGUCUUCAUUUUGUGAGGGCCCUGCAGAUGCUUACCCACAGGAACACCCCAGUCACUGCCAGAGGUCCCUCCCCGUUCCAGCACUGCACUGCAAAGCAGGAUCUGGCCAUGAUGCUCAGCAAGAUGGAGCCCUUCCAUUAUGAGAUAAUUAAAUUGCCUGUAAUUAUGUUCUUGACAGUGAAAUAAAGGUGGUAAAUGAUCGUAAUGUUCUUCGCUUCCUUCUUCCUCCCAGGACCCCCCCAGCUGCCCCUCCCCUCUAAAUGCUGAAUUAUUUUACAGUUGAUAGUUCCUUAGAAUCGCCGACCUUUAAAAGCUGAACACUACAUGCCUGUUGAAUUUUAAUCAAUUUAUUUUUUUCAACUGGAAAUGUCAGACUUCUGUACGGAAUUACUUGGUGCCGGCUGAUGUGACAAAGACUCAAAGUUCAGCAUCUGAAGCCACGGAGGAGCAGAGAGUUGCGUGCAUUAGCACAGAUAAUUUGCAGGAUGUGAAAAUGAGAGCGGGAGUGAGGGAGCAUAUAUUUUUCAUUAGCUUUGGUUUAGAAGGUGCGAGGACCUGCAUUUAUUUCAUCCAGUGAACUCUGGCCUCAUUAAAUCCAGACCGUGGCCAGUAAUGACUGGAAGUAAGAAGCUGUGGAGGCCACCAAAGGGCAGGAAGUAAAGUGAGUUCUUCACGGGGUGAAACAUGGUGUACGUGUUGACAGGGGCAGUGCACAACCUCUGCUGUGCCCACCCCGCGGUGCCAAGCACUGCACAGUGGGUGCUGGUUGCCCAAACCAUCUGCCAGCCCACGCUGGCACAGUUCCUUAAUGCACACGGUAUCACCCAUUUUAGUCCAGAAGACCCGAAGAGCUCAGCAAACAUUUCAACUCCAGCAGAGCCUGUCUCUGUCCAAGCAAGAUGAAUAACUUUUCAGUAGCGUUGAGUUUGGCUGCCACUGUCUUGAAGGAUUAAGAAUUCCCCAACCGGAGUGAAGCCCAUGGGUAAAGAGAGGAAGAUGUUAACGUGGAAACAUUCCUGCAGGCUGGUUCCUGCUGCCAGAGAAGCCCAUGGCACUGAGAAUAGACCAAUGAGGAGCCCUCGAGUCCUUACUGGGAUUUGCUGGCCUUCACUGUAACUUCAGCAUCGCGUUUGUGAGCCAGGGUAAUGAGGGGAGCUGCUCUGCU